UGGGGAAUCUUGCGCAAUGGGCGAAAGCCUGACGCAGCCAUGCCGCGUGAGUGAUGAAGGCCUUAGGGUUGUAAAACUCUUUCACCGGGGACGNUAAUGACGGUACCCGGAGAAGAAGCCCCGGCUAACUUCGUGCCAGCAGCCGCGGUAAUACGAAGGGGGCCUAGCGUUGCUCGGAAUUACUGGGCGUAAAGGGCGCGUAGGCGGAUCAGCAAGUUGGGGGUGAAAGCCCGGGGCUCAACCUCGGAAUUGCCUUCAAAAACUGCUGAUCUAGANUACGGGAGAGGUGUGUGGAACUCCGAGUGUAGAGGUGAAAUUCGUAGAUAUUCGGAAGAACACCAGUGGCGAAGGCGACACACUGGCCCGUUACUGACGCUGAGGCGCGAAACGCGUGGGAGCAAACAGAUUAGAGUACCCUGGUAGUCCANGCUGUAAACGAUGAUUGCUAGUUGUCGGCAGGCAUGCCUGUCGGUGACGCAGCUAACGCAUUAAGC
rnacentral:rRNA from 1 species